rnacentral:rRNA from 1 species
GCUCAGGAUGAACGCUAGCUACAGGCUUAACACAUGCAAGUCGAGGGGUAGCAGGGUAGCAAUACCGCUGACGACCGGCGCACGGGUGAGUAACACGUAUCCAACCUUCCCAUAACUCGGGGAUAGCCUUUCGAAAGAAAGAUUAAUACCCGAUAGUACUUUUUCAAGGCAUCUUGAGAAAGUUAAAGAUUUAUUGGUUAUGGAUGGGGAUGCGUUCCAUUAGAUAGUUGGUGAGGUAACGGCUCACCAAGUCUUCGAUGGAUAGGGGUUCUGAGAGGAAGGUCCCCCACAUUGGUACUGAGACACGGACCAAACUCCUACGGGAGGCAGCAGUGAGGAAUAUUGGUCAAUGGGCGAGAGCCUGAACCAGCCAAGUAGC